AGCCUUAUAUUCAAUAAUAUGAUAUAAAAUUGCAAAUUUUAAGGAGUAAAUAAUAAAAUUUAUACUAAGGCUU
rnacentral:tRNA from 1 species